UUUCCUCGCGGCAACGAAUCUGUUGAACACGCGAAGAUCCAGAAUAGGUCUCUUCUCCCCUGACUUCUUGGAAACCAGGAAGUAGCGGGAGUAAAACCCUAGGUGUGACUCGUUGGGGGGAACGACAGUGACGGCCCCCUUCUCCAAGAGAUGGGCCACCUCUACUGCCAGAGCCGUGCUUGCCGCUGGAUCCCGUAGCCUGGUCUCCACCAACCCCAUAAAGGGUGGGGGACGGCGCUUGAACUGUAUGGGAUGACCCCAUCUCAACGUGUUGUCCAACCACGAUGGUAGAACGCACCGCUCAAGCCAACACACAUAGCGGUCGGAGAGAGGGCGAACUGACAGCUGAGGAAUGCUGUCCAGGAAUAACCCGUAUUCCACGGCCCCUACCGCCUUCACACAGUCUGUGGACCAAGGGGGGCAUCCCAUGAAAGGUAGGAGGCUCAGCGAGCGUGGUAGACGUUACAGAGGCUAGUCGCUGUACAAACAGCGAGCUGUAUAGAUGCCUCGCUCGUGUCCGCCGAACAGGCAACGAGCCGUCUGGCCGUAGCACUCAUGACCGCGCGUUGUCCACUGGCUGUAACCACAGCGCGCAGACCCGUCUUCUGACCUUCCACAGACUGUAGAUGGGAGGUAGAGGGGAUAAUGUGGGAAACUAGGAAACUAGUACAAGCGUCCGUAUCCACGGGCUCGUGUAAUGAGUCUCCAGUCUGCCCACGAAGCUCAAAGGGAAGCCGCUUCCUAGAAGCAGGUGAACCACAGGUUAUGUAAACACGCCGUCUGGCCGCCACCUUACAGCCAUCUUGCUGAGGGGGGGAAAGAGGUAAUCUAAAGGAAUAUCGCUCUUUAGGGAGUAUGUACUGCCGUUCGGUAACACGGGGAUGUCUCUCCAACUGGCUGAGGAUCUUUUAGUCAGACAUGAGACAUGAGUCAAAGAGGAAAGAGCAAAAUAUCCUCCAGGUAUCUUUUCCAAACAUAGCCACAACCCCCGAUUCCCGUUGAAUACUACGAACACAGGUAUAAACCCCAAAUGUCUCUUCUUUAAAUCAUCCACUAAUUUCAUGCAAGUAGUUAAACAAAGUUUUACAAGCUAAGUAAUGGAUGUUAGAUCCAACAUCUCAAAUAUGGAUUGAUGCCUCAGAACAACCAGACUUUUAAAGUAGUGUUCCUUUACCACUGGAACAGUCCAAUCCUGCUUCCAGACCACUAUAGUUCAGCCGCUUAUAAAGGAGGUCUGGAUUAUAGUUCAUCAUAGGUCUCGAUUGUUCUUGUUUUUUUUUUAAAUCAAGUAACACCCUGGAUACAUUGUAAUUUGGUUUCCGUUACCACCAUGGUACCAAAUAACCAGGGUUAACCAAUUAUCUUCUCCAGGCUGCAGAGGGUGGAAGCUGCUCACUUUUAAUUAUGCUAUAGCCUUUCAACACAGUCGAUCACAACAUGUUGAUUGGCCGUUUGAGAGACUUGUGUAGCACCCGUGGUCUUAGCCGGAAGGGGCAGAUAGGAUGCUAGCAUCACUCCAGGUCCUAAAGAAGUUAAACACUAAUGACUCACGAAGGGAGUUGGUGUUGGUUGAAUAGAUGAGCUAUUUUAAUGCCUUUCAUCAUAAAACAUUGACAUUUGGUACAAAAUAAAGCUUUUGAAAAUAACAAACAAACAAACAAAAUCAAAAUAAUAAGUCCUUUGUAGCUGGAUUCCACAGCUACAGUACUCCUUGGAAAAGGAGUUGUUUGGUCGAGGAAUGUCUAGUUCAGGGGGGAAUAUCCAGAUAUGUGUCUUUCUCUUACUACUACCCGGAUAGGUUAGUGUGUAUCUAUUUGUUGUCUUAUCUGUUAUGAAUGGAUCUUCACAAUCGUCUAUGGCGGUGUUCACGGCUGGCAACGCCGUAUCCAAUCCAUCCACAGUUCUAUUGGGCUAAGCUCGCCAUCGUAGAUGCAAUCUUCCUUCGAUCAAACAAAAAAAAACGACCGGAGAUUCAAGUGAACAAUAUAAUUCACGGUAGUUUUCUUGUAAUUUCAAUGUUCAGGUCCUGCCGUCUGUCCGCUUCAAGGUGACCCCCUGGAAACGGGGUGUGUGUAAUUUCCUGUUACUGGAAUUAUGUUGAGCGCGCCCUACUGGAGAACUCAUGUAAUUGCAUCUUUAAAUAAUAAAGGGUUUAGAGGCCCUAUAUUCCAUAUGGGUUACACCCUCCUCCCUUGACUCUGCAUGAGUCCCUUCAUGCUCUAAUCGGUAGACUACAGGGGAGACGUCGUAGUCACCAAUGGCAUCAAUGACUUUAUUAAAGCUCUCUAAGAGACUCUGUGCAAAGGAGAUUAAGGGUUUCCCCAUCUGGAUAUAUAGGAAGCGCUCAGGUGGUUGGCGCGACCUUCCAGAUGUUCGUGUUGUGAUGUUUUGAUCAUUUGUCUCUCCAUCUGUGAUAGUUCCACUUUGUUUGUUUUUGUCAUCGGUAUCCCCGGUUGGUUUGUUGUUCAGCUGCUGGGUUUCUUCAGCAGUUUCUCCAUUUCCAUCAUCCUCAGCCAUGGCUGGAUUUCCAUUUGUCAUAUCCGGUAAAGUUACAUUCUCUUCAGCAGAGAGUUGCUCAUCCAUGAUAUCUGGUUCACCCCCUGGAACCAACUCAGGGACUGUUGCAACAGCUUCUGCCGGCAAUACUGGGGAACUGCCUGCACAGGGUUCACCCUGGGGCUGGGGGGUCAAGGAGGUAUUGGGCACUGGUGAGCAGUUAGCCUCUUCUGUUGGGGUUACAAUUGGUUGCGGUCUCCUUGGGAUUUCAUAGACCUCAACUACUGUUUCUGCAGGGAUGACAGGCAACUGGGUAGGACAGAAGUAAGAGUCGUCCUCAGAGUCUGAGUUCUCCACAGGGAGCAGAGGUUGGCUGCGCCUAGUUAUUGGCCGGUGGACCUUUGGUUUGGCCGGCUCAAUUUCCUCUUCAGUCAGGUUCCCACAAGCGAGUAGGUGAUCCCUAUGUAGGGUUCGGACGGGGCCGUCUCCAUUUAUUGGCUGUACUGUGUAAACAGGUAGAUCUCCCAUCCUUUUAAGAACUUUGUACACAGUGGACUCCCACUUAUCCGCAAGUUUUUGUUUUUUCCUCAAGCGCAGGUUCCUUACUAACACUUGGUCACCUUCUUCUAGUGUUGAUUCUCUUACUGCUCUGUCGAAUCGUCGUUUGUUCCGUUCAGCAACCUUUUGGGAGUUUUUGGUUGCUAUCUGAUAGCUCUCUUGAAGACGGGCUCUCAGCUUUCUAACAUACUGAGAGUGAGAUUUUGGAGCACCGUCUUUUACUGGCGAACAGAAUGCAAUGUCCAAUGGCAGCCUAGGCUGGCGCCCAAACAUCAACUCAUAUGGGGUGAACCCGGUGACAUCGUUCUUGGUGCAGUUAUAGGCAUGAGUUAGUGGCUUUACAUGGUCACGCCAGUGGUUUUUCUCCUUUUCUUUUAAGGUUCCCAACAUGCCCAGGAGGCAUGUUGGGUUUCCUCUUGGGUGGUAAGGACUUGUGCGUACUUUAGUGAUUCCAGCAAGGGUGCAGAGCUCUCGGAUGAGUUGAGACUAGAAGCCCCUUCCCUGAUCACUUAGUAGUCGCUCUGGAAACCCAUAGUGCACCAAAAACUGUUCCCAAAGACUCUUGGCCACUGUUGUAGCCUUCUGAUCUUUUGUUGGAAUGGCUACAGCAUACUUGGUAUAAUGAUCAGUUAUGACCAAGAUGUCUUUGGUGUUGCUACUGUCGGGCUCCAAGGACAGAUAAUCCAUGCAUACAAGUUCCAUGGGACGAGAUGUUUGGAUAUUCACAAGAGGUGCUGACUUUCCAGGCGGCGUUUUCCUCCUAACACAACGUCCACAUGAUUUGAUCUUGUUCUCUACAUCCAUAGCCAUCUUCGGCCAAUAGAACCUUGAACGGACUAAGUCGAUGGUUCUGUCCAAACCCAUGUGGCCCAUAUCAUCGUGGAGGCACGUGAGAAUGGUAGACUUCAGAAACUUGGGAAGCACAAAUUGGUGAGUGGUGUCCCCUUCUGAUAGACGAGUUCUGUAGAGGAGACCAUUUUUCAACUCCAACCGCUUCCAUUCUUUGAGCAUCAGCUUGAGCUCGAGUGAGUCAGGAAUGAGGUUUGGACUCGCUUUAUUUCCAGAUUCCAACAUGUUGACAACUUGCUCAAUGACUGGAUCAGACCUCUGAUGUUGUUGGAGUUCUUCUUCACUGUAAGUAGGUAUGGUGGAACAACCUAGCAUUUCCGCUUCUCCGUAGACGUCUGGCACUGCAUCCGCAGUAAGUGCAAGGGACUCUACCAAGGUGAUAGAUGGUAGGUCGUCGUCAGCCUGACUCAACAGAUGGCGGUUGCACAAGACAGUGACUGUAUCAGCUGGUGUGUCCUUUUGGUUUGGAAAGGAAGAUAGAUGAUGAGAAGCAAACUGUUGGAUUCUCUCUCUCUCCUCAAGAGAAGCAUGGUCUUCAGGCAGAGUGUCAUGAGGCCGCCUGGAAAGACCGUCUGCGUCUUGGUUGCUCUUUCCAGCACGAUACUUUAUGUUAAAGUUAAAGGUUGAAAGAGCAGCAAGCCAGCGGUAACUGGUUGCGUCAAGUUUUGCAGAUUUCAGAAUAUACGUCAAUGGGUUGUUGUCUGUUACAACCGUGAACGUGUUUCUGUAAAGAUAGUCAUAAAAUUUCUCCACAACCGACCACUUCAAAAUUCCAGAAUUUUCACUUCCUUUUCACUGGGCGAAAGCCCUCUGCUUGCAUAAGCAAUAACACGCAUUUUGCCUUUUUGUACUUGGUAAAGGGCGGCACCUAAACCAGAAGUGCUUGCGUCUGUAUGGAGGAUGUAAGCGAUUUUUGGAUUGGCGAAGCCAAGUAUGGGAGAGGAAGUGAGUUUGGUUACAAUCGCCUCAAAUGCUGCUUUGCAAGCAGGUGUCCACCGGUCGGCGAAGGGUUCUUUGUACCCCCAGAGCAAGAUGUAAGUUUUCUGCGCUUUCUGUAUGGUGGAUAGCCUCCUGUAAGAUCGUUUAGAGGUUUGACUAUCUUGGAAUAGUCCUUUACGAACCGACGAUAGUAUCCUGCGAAGCCAAGAAACGAUUUGAGUUCACUGAGAUUUUGGGGUCUUGGCCAGGUGUGGAGGGCACUGACCUUCUCAGGAUCAGUUUCAACUCCAUUGUUUGAAACAAUGUGCCCUAAAUAGCGCACAGAGUUCUGAAAGAAGCGACACAUAUUUGGUGAGAGUUUCAAGCCAUUUUCUCUAAGCUGCUGGAGGACAUGCAAAAGCCGGGCUUCAUGCUCCUCCAAUGUGCUUGAGAACACAAUGAUGUCGUCUAAAAACACCAGCACUUCCUUCAGAUUGAGACUGCCCAUGCACCGCUCCAUUAAUCGUUGGAAAGUACUGGGGGUGUUGGUAAUGCCCUGGGGCAUGCGGUUAAACUCGUACAACCCCAGAGGACACACAAAGGCGGUCUUAGCUUUGCACGUUCUUCCAUCUCUAUCGGGUAAUAACCAGAUUUCAAAUCCAUUACUGAGAACCAUUUGGAGCCGGCAAGAGCAGAGAAAGCUUCUUCAAGAUUGGGAAGUGCGUAGGCAUCUCGUAUUGUCAGAGUGUUAAGCUUCCGAUAGUCGAUGCAAAGACGUACCUCUCCACUCUUCUUCCGUACUAAAACGAUUGGCGAAGAGUAAGGUGACUCAGAUUCACGAAUCACUCCUGCAUCAAGGAGUGUUUGCAGAUGUUUCCUUACAGCUUCAUAGUCUUUGGGAUGGAUCGGUCGGGACUUUUGCUUGAAAGGUGUUUCGUCUUUCAAGUUUAUGUGAUGUUUAACUUUUGAUGCUUGCCUGAAAUCAAAAUCAUUUUGGGCAAAAACAUCACCAUAAGCUUUUAGACUCUAGACUGUGUUAUCUUUUCAUUCCACUCUCGUGGGAGAGGGGAAUCACCGAAGUCAAAUUGGAGACCUGACUUGGUUGGAUCAACUGUUGUCUGAGAAGCGACUGCACAACAUUUCACAGCGUCAGUUUUCUUGUCAGAAUUAGGUAAAUUGUCAUAGAUUUGUUCAGGAGCAUGGAGCUCGGCAAUGACACAACUGGAUGGGAGUGUUACAUCAUGCUCAUUUUCAUUUUUUACCCACACAGGUAGCUUGUGAAGACUCUUCUUGGGCAAAGUGACAAGACAACACUCUACAAAGAUCCCACCAGAGUUAUCAAGCCAAUUCUUCCUGUGGAGUUCACUUCCUUCCGGAGCUUUAAGGACAUUGAUGCUUGAGUUCAGUUCCUGGCAGUCCCUUGACAGGAACUGAGGUUAGUUUAAAUUAUGUCUGUUUUGUUCCUCCCAGGCUUGUUGUUUUCGUUUGAACUCUUUUCUUUUCAUGUGAACUUGUUCAGGGUUUGGCUCAUUACUGCAGGAAGGCGCAAUAUGGCCGUCCUCUCUUUAAAUAAUAAAGGGUUUAGUAGCUCUAUAUUCCAUAUGGGUUACACUUGGUUGGAAUUUCUGGAUUGGCGCCUAAAUCAGCGAUAAAACCAGAACUGAAAACAGCAACCAAAUCUCUCCAAUCGUUGCAGCACUACAUUGAGAGCUGUUUGUUGCCGA